GUCAUCUCGACCUCCAGACUCGAGCGCUUCGCCGCCUCCCGCCGGCCGCCCCCCUCUCCCCCCGUCACCGCGCGCCGCCACCGACGCCGUGGCCGUUGGCGGCUCCCCCCGCCCCUGCUACCAUGGUGCCGCCGGGACUCCUCCCCGCUGCUGAAAUUCCCCAUCGCCAUCCCAAGGGCCUCGCCCGCCGCGCUCCCCUGGACCCUGAGCGCCGCCGCCCCAGCCACCCUCGAGCCUCCACCAGGUGACCCCAGGCGCCGCUGAUCCCGUGUGCUGCUGCUCGAAGAUUCCCCUGCUUGCUGCCCUCUCCCUCCCACUCCACGGUGCACGGGGCAGGGGGAACUGGGUGGCGGCGGCGGCAUGAUCUCCGGUAAGCGGCGGGGCCUAGCGGCGGGGCCGGGAUCCGGUGGCGGCGGCAAGCUCCUGUAGGUAGGCGACGAGCGAGAGAGAGGGAUUGAGAGAAGGGGAGAGAGAUGGAAGGAAGGAGAAGAAGACGAGCAUGGGCAGUGGGGCGUAGGAGAGAGAGAGGGCGGAGGCAAGGAGGAUAAGGACAGAUGGCAGGGGGCGGCCUGUGUGAUUGCUCCGGUGAUGGCGUCCGGCGUAGGUUCAUACCUCGGCGCGCAGCCGCAAUCCCUCCCCUCCACCGUCUCCACGUGGUGUAGGCUGCUGCAAUCUCGCUAUCCCAGCGAUAUCCCAGAUGCGCGCCACAGCCAGCCAACAAGACCACUAUGUAGCUCAGGCCCAGAAUUGGUCAAUUUUAUACAGCUGCAAUACACAACGACACACAAAAUAGAUGCUCCUAGGCUCGAUCUUUCUACUGCAACAUACUCGCCCAAUACUUAUUAUCGCACUUUUCUCAACUAACCAUACUCUGUCCCUUGAGGAGGAUUUCAGGGGAGAUCGACUACUGUAAGUCUGACGAUAACAAGAGGCUGAUAUUUGAGCUGGACUCUUGCGGACAACAGGUUCAGGAGCUCCAAGCCAACAACGGCCAUUGCCUUGAAAAAGAUGUAAGAUUUCUACUAUCUAGCUUCUGUCACAAGAUUUGCUAUAGCCUGUUAUUUUGUAUGGCAGUCAGUUUUGUUGUAAGAAUGAGUAAUAGAUCUAUUGUUCAAUUCUUGUUUGAGAUAGAAUACAAGUUAUGUUAAAUAUUCAAUGUUUAUUGAACAUGACCAUAGUGGAAAAGGCUUUAAAGAUAAGAGAUGAGAUAUUUUUUCCUUUAACAGUUCAAUUUCUGAAAAAAAUUCAACACAAUAGCCGAAUUUAUUCCAAUUUUCACAUAUAAUACUUGCCGCUAAGAACUUAUAGGUAUAUGCUUUCACAUGCAGUCCUGUCUUUGCUAACACGUAUGGUGUCAGUUUAGAAAGACCUACGUAAUGUUGUUUUGAUUCUUGGCUUUAGGGGAAAAGGGAUAGGUUCAGAAAAUAUUUAUCUAGAAUAGAUGUAUAUUUAUGUAAGAGGAUAGAUGUACUUACUUACAGAACUACAGUUUGCUGCAGUUGCUAGGGACUGUAGAUUACGGUUCUAAUUAAUUCUUUUGCAUUUCAGUCUGUCAUUCAUUGUUACUUGAAUGUUUCUCUUUUUGUGAUCUCCCAUAGAAGCUUUUUGUUUGUUUUUUCACUAGAACAGCUCUACACGCCUUGUGAAAUUUCUGAUGUAGUUUGGAAAUAUGAGUGAGAACUGCAAGUACGUUGAUACUGCCCUCUAUGUAUUGAAUCCAAGGAUUUUUUUUUAAUAUAUAUUCUUUUUGUUAAUUUCAAGGGAGGAAGAGAACUCCAGUACUAUGGUAAUGUUCUUGAUUCUGAUUCUCCAUGAUUGAUAAUGUUGUUUAGGACCCUAAGCUUUGUCAUGGCUGAUUUAAAUAGGCACAGCUGGUUUAGAAGGAAAGCACUGCUACUAAUUUUAGAACUAGGAUGUCGUAUUUGACAGCUGUCAGGUAUUGCUUAUUUGCAUUGUAAGAUCACAAUUCUAAGGUUAAUCUUUUUAGUUGUGUAGCAUUGCAUAUUUGGGUCCUUGAAUUCUCUCCUCGAAGAUCAACGCAUUUGGUCAGAUUUGGCUUAUUUAAUAAUUAGCAAACAAUAAAUAUUGAACAUCUAUUCAGUGCGACAUUUCUUACGGAUGGUCAGGUCGACAGCGGCAACAUCGUCUUCAUUGUACCAAGGUGCUGCUACUACUACAACGGCAACCUCCUACUUCCCGAACAUGACCAUUGCAGCUAUCCUUGCUGUAAAUUUUGUCUCUUUUCUUUCUCAUAAAUUAUGGACAUAUGGGCAUUCUGAUCAGGUAACAUUCUUCUCUAAGAUUUGAUAUUUGAAGCAUGAUGUUUGCGAUCAGGUAAUUUUCCUAGGGUCUUUCAGAUGUCAAUGUUGAUGGAAAAUACACAUGUUGCAUACCUUUUUUGAAAUCAGAAGUGGAUACUAACAUUUCACAUCAUGACAUUGUAGUUUAUAGUGCUAAGCUUGACUCCUCCAUGGUUAUAAUAAUGGACUUACAGUGAGUUGAUUUGUAGUUAACUUUGUCAUUAAGUGGCUGGCUUUUAUCUGAACAAUGCAGUCUUGCAUUCUCUAGGGAGCCAGAGCAAGUCCUUCCUUCCGAUUUGAAUUUGGGGAUUCGAUGAUUUCUGUCGGAUAUAUCAUGUCUAUUUGAUCAGAAAACAUGAGAUGCAAAACAUGUUUUUCCAGCAGAAAUGAAUUCAUGGACUGGAACUCCUACAGAUUUGAAGUUGCAUGCUGGAUCGACUGCAUAUUUUAUUAAGGGUUUAUCAGUUCAUCAUUCCCAUUAGUUCAAUCGUGGCUGCAGUAACGAGUUUGCCACUACUUCAAUGGAUAUAAUGGAGCAUAGUCGUCAUUAUGUAUGCAAAAGCAUGUAUCAAAAUUUGAAUUACCACGGCGCAUUUAAUUCUCUUGGAGUACUAAACAGUCAUGCGGCUCUCCACAGAUUUCUUCCAAAUGCCUUGCAAAGUUCCGCAGAGAACAAGCUAUCUCGGAAUUUCUUCCAAAUGCAGCAAGUUCCGAGCAAGCAAAACUAUACUCUGUAAAUAAUCUUCCUGAACCAGAGUUCUUAAUUUUCUUUCUAUUUUUACCUUUUCCUGUACUGGAUUUUAAUGUACUGAACACUCUCCUUAAUCAAUGGGAGCAACACCUGAUUGCCUUCAUAUAAAGAAACACAAUGUAAACACAUAAUAUACGAUGUAUAGCUAGCAGGAACAGGACAAAAAUGCUGCUCGAAGGUGAGUGGAAGUGCAUGAUUUUCUAGAUUUAUUUUCUUGACAGAAGUUGCUAUAUUCUCAAUAUACGUCACAGUUGUAAUCAUUUAAAGCAGCAAAUCAGUUAUAGAGUUGUAGUAAUGCAAGUGAUUAAAAUCCCUUGCUAAUUAAAAUUGUAGUUUUUUUAUUUCACCGUAAUGUUUUUUUGGAGAACGAUCAUGCAUGUUUCUAAUACAUAGGUUGAGAUAAGUAGACGAAGGUUCAGUGAACACACGAGUAUGACAGCCAUAUCAUUUCCAGUAAAAAAAAGUGUUGAGAUAUUUAGCUCCCGUACAAUCAGUAUGAAUUUAUAUCUAUAUGUGAACAAAUAAUUUUAGGCUGAAGAUCACUAGAACCAGCAUGAAAAAUUGACCUCUCAAAACAUGAAAACAGUGGCUUACUUCAGCCGUCAAGCUUAAGAGUGGUUCACAAUUAACAGCUGAGUUCACAAAUGUGGCUCAACUUGAAUUGUUUUAUGUUGGACAUUAUAAUUUUUGUGAGGUUUUGUUGUUCGCCCGUUGCAACGCACGGGCACUAGUAAUAAUAAAGCAAUUUGGGUUUCUGUCAUUCGUUGUCGCCGUUUUUACAAAAACAUCCUUAUAGUUUUUGGUAAUUAAACCCGCAGUCCCUUUUUAAGUUGAAAAAACGUUUCGUUUAGAAAUUUUACCAGGAAAACCUUGUGGUUUCCUGUAUUCAACCGGCGGUCCUUUUAAUGUGAGAAAAUCGCAAGGAAGACAGGCGGGUCUGGGCGCAGCGUCGAGGGAUCUGGCGGCUGGUGCGGCGGCUUGCUCCAGUGGCCGCGGUGUCCUGCUCAUCCAGAGAAACAGGGCAUGAGGGAGAGAGGAAAGAGAUGAAAAAGGAGAAGGAGCAGGGGCGCAAGGUGAGGGAGAGGGAUCUGGCGGGUGGUGCGGGGGGCUUCGGUGGCGGCGGCGUCCUUCUCAUCCAGAGAAAGGGAGAGACAGGGCGUGAGGGAGAUAGGAAAGAGAGGAAGAAAGGAGAAGGAGAGGGGGCGCAAGGUGAGGGAGAUGGUCGCCGGCGGUGGCGCCCCCGGUGACCGGCCGGCGGCAGGCCCGAUGGUGUCUGGAGUUUUGGACACCUGCGCGAGCUACCCUGCUGCUGCUAAUUCUUCUCUGCCCACGCCUCUGCUGCUGCUCCUUCUACUCCUCAGAUGCCCAUGCUUGCUCUGAAACAAUCAUUGUUGAAGGACUAAAGGGCAUGAUUUCUGGACCACAGAUGAUGCAUUUUAUUGGCAGGCACAAUCAAGGGCCCAUCAUCUUUCUGCUAUAGGAGCGACUGAACAAUUGCAAAAAUCUAAGCAAGAAGAAGAUAGUUGACCCCACGGACUGCCCCAUGUGCAUGCAGGCAUCCGAAGACUGCACUCAUCUGUUCUUGUUCUGCCCCAAUGUUAGACCGAUCUAGACAGCCACUGGUAUCAACCACAAAUGCAGAGACAUCAAAGAUGUUUGGGUGUUUAAUCCCCCAACUCCACUUCCAGCUUCUCUGCAAACUUUCAUGACGCUGUUGGUUCUUUGGAAAAUCUUGGACUCCAGGAAUGCAUGGGUUUCAGGAAAAAUCGACUCUCACCAGUCGAUGUACUAAAAUGAUGUUGGUCUUUGGCCUGAUUUCUUCUCCUUAAGGUAAACGAUUGUCCUGUAAUACCCCUAUUUCUCCUUAAGUGAAAAUUCAGGUGGGGAAGCCCCCAUCCCCCCUCCUACAUCACCUAGCCUGGUAUCGUAACAAGUUUUAUUUUGAAUGUCUGGAACGUCUAGAAACUUUUCACUAAGUGCCCUCACAAAUCUUAUAAGUAAAUGAUGUUCUCUAUGAAUUUUUAUUUUACAAGCUGCAACUAUGUUACGAUUUUCUCCCCUGCCUGCAAGUUGGUACAGAGCCGAAACCCAACUGUCUUCCAAUGGAGGUUUGUGCAAAUGGAGGCCAAGUUGCUGUUGUGGUGGUAUGGUUGGUAGGUUAUGGUUUCACGUUCCACUGCAGAUUAAGAAGGCUCUCAAGGGUCUGAGAGUUGAGGUCUCCCACCGAGGAGAGGUGCGCAGGAAGUACCGCAUCAAUGGCUUGACAAAGCAGUCUAGCAGAGAUUUGACCGGCGAAACCAAGACUGUGAGGGACUACUUUCGAGAAACCUGCAAGCUGCAACUAAGUUACGAUUUUCUCCCCUGCCUGCAAGUUGGUACAGAGCAGAAACCCAACUAUCUUCCAAUGGAGGUUUGUGCAUUGGAGGCCAAGUUGCUGCUGUGGUGGUAUGGCAAGACUGUGAACUCAACUCAUCGGCUGUGGCAAAAUGAUCUCCCUACAAGUACUAACUAAUUUGCAUAUAUGCUCUGGUUCUCAUGUUACUAUAUGAAUUAGGUGCCUCCAAAUAAAUUCUCAAAAAUAGAAGUUUUAAAAAAUAAGUUAGUUCGGAUUUAGCACGCGGGUCUUGUUGCAAUUGCUUGCGUCAAUUCUAGCUCAUUUCUUUGUAUUCUCUUAGUUAGUUCAUUAUUCAGGCUCUGCUACUUAUCAUCAUUUAUUAUUUCUUCACAUGCAUUAUUCUGAACCUUGAGUCCAUCUUCACAUGCAUUUGUUGUUCUGAUAUAUCAUAAGUUUGAGCCCAACUCUUCGGUUGUUUUUUGAACCUUUGACAUAUAUUACCUGAUUGGUACAUUUGCUCGAUGGAGGACCUACCGGAGGCUCUGGUGACAGAGAUUCUCAAGAGGAUCACCAAACUCUCUUUCCCUUGUGUCAAAGCAGCUCUACAAAAUAGAGGGGAAUCAAAGGGGUGCUAUCCACGUUGGUUCCGAUCUUUGCACUGCUAGAAAACCACUGACAUCAUUGUGCACCUGGUUCCCGAAUUUGCGGAAAUUUGAAAUCAAUUACUCUGGCUGGAUACCAGAGUUGUGCAAAUGGAAGCCAAGUUUCUGCUGUGGUGGUAUGGUAACUGGUAAGAUUGAACUCAACCCAUCGGCUGUGGCAAAAUGAUCUCCCUACAAGUACUAACUAAUUUGCAUACAUACUCUGAUUCUCAUGUUACUGUAUGAAUUAGGUGUCUCCAAAUAAGUUCUCAAAAAAAUAAAAAAUAAAAAUAAGUUGGUUCAGAAUCAGCACGUGGCUCUUGUUGCAAUUGCUUGCAUCAAUUCUAGCUCAUUUCUUUGUAUUCUCUUAGUUAGUUCAUUAUUCAGGCUCUACUACUUAUCAUCAUUUUUGGCCCAGGAAAACAGUGUCAUGAUUUAUAAACUAAAUGAAAAUAUUAUCCUCAGCUGAGUGUCUUUGCUGAGGGUCAAUUUCUUUAGGAGCAGGCAAAACCGCCUCGAUGCAGAGAGAUCUGCCAUACAUGCACCGUUGUCUCGAAACACUUUACUUCAUUGUGUGCUUUACUGACUGAAUAACUACUUCUGAUUCUUGUCAAAGGUUGAAGCUGUGAAGAAGAUAAUCAAGUACGUAUGAUGCAGUUUAGGAGAGUUGUCAAAGAGCAUGGUUAGUUUGUUCUGUUAUAGUACUAAAUUCAUAGAUGGUGGUGUAGCUGUACUGUUAUGUCGUGUUCAGCAGCGAUAAGACCAUUGCUCUUCAUGUUUUUAGUUUAAUCUGUACUAAUUCAGAAAGAUUAGUCACAUAUUGGUCGUUGUUAGCCACCUGAAGUUAAUGGGAGAGGAAGGAGCAUGAGUGGUCUUUUCUUUUCGUUUCACAAAUUAACCACAAGUUAAAUGCAGGGUGAGAGCAUGUGCAGAUUAAUUUUUUACCGACUGGAACAGGCUAUCAAAGAUUGUUCUAUCUGUCUUGGAAAAAUGUGUUCAAAGUGAAUUCUUUCAAGAGCUGAUCCUAUUUAUUAACUUAUGUAAGUCCUUAGAUUCUAUGGCCGCAAUCCAGAAGCUUUAUGAGAUUUGCCAAGUAUAUUAUGAAAAACGGUCGUCAUCUCCUGAAGCCGUCGAAAAUGUUUGUGUCGUAUUAGUUAAGAACUACAUGGAGAAUUGACACUAACCAAACUAAAUGCCUUACUAUUGAUUACCCACAUAUUAUAUUGUGAGCAUGGGAUGUAUUUCUAUGCUUGGAGAAAAACACAUUAUUAUUAAUUACAUUAUAUUUCAUUAUUGGAUGUGUUCCUAUACUAUCUUGAAUAAACAGAAACUUCAUAUAUAAUUACCCGAGCAGGUGCGCCACAUUGUUCUUUUUAUUUUAUUUUGUAGUAACAAAAGGGCAAUGGCACUCACAUUUGAAUAUCCACAUCGUCGACUGGCGGGCCGAAGGAGGGCACCCUAGAGCGGAUGCCCACUCAACCGGGCCUUGGCAAGGACACCUGCCUCAUGCCGUUGCACGCUCAUGUGCUCUACUAUUCUGAAUCGUUGGGCAGAUGAGGAGUAGGAGGCCAUGGGUGGCAUUGGGUCUGACCAAUGGCUUGAGGACCUUCUUGACAACAAGAUUACCGUGCCAUGCUGUCGUGUUGGGUCAUCACGGUGACCAUGGACAGUCGGGCUUCAUGGUGGGGCUGGGAUGGACCCCUGGUAGGAUCGUAGGCAAUGUCGCUUGCUCUGCCACGUCAUUAUACGCGAUCCAGGGCAAGAGGAUAUCAACCAGGACACAGUUGUAUCCCCAUUGCAACGCAGAGGUUUCAUAUAACAAAAGAUAUUAUUCUCUAAUAUGAAUCUGUAAGAAAAGAUAUGUCAUACAUUUGUGGAAAUUGAUAAUGUAAGCUAAUCUCAAAACUUUAUUUCAAGAUUGAUUACUCGGUGGUGCUAACUUCCAUUUUCUCAAAACAGGAUGUGCAUGCUAUUUCUGAAAAGAGAAGCUUCUAUGUUGGCUGGCAUCCCUGGUGGUAGUUUAAGAUAUCUAGCAAAUGAAAGGGCGCCUCAUAAUUCAUUGGAUAUAGACCAGUAGGGUCAAUUACAUAUAGUUGGCUGUAAAUGACUUUCAGUUUCUAGCUUAAAUAUAGUUUUAGAUAUCUAGAUAUGUACUCUUUAACAGUAUGAUGUGCUUGAUGGUGGCCCUAUGUGUUGGUUGAAAUUAUCACGUUCUUUACGAGCAGUUGCAGUGCUCUUAUUAUUUUAUUUCCACAAAUAUCAUCACAUUUUCCCUCAA